ACGGGAGGCAGCAGUGGGGAAUAUUGGGCAAUGGGCGAAAGCCUGACCCAGCAACGCCGCGUGAAGGAAGAAGGCCUUCGGGUUGUAAACUUCUUUUACCAGGGACGAAGGACGUGACGGUACCUGGAGAAAAAGCAACGGCUAACUACGUGCCAGCAGCCGCGGUAAUACGUAGGUUGCAAGCGUUGUCCGGAUUUACUGGGUGUAAAGGGCGUGUAGGCGGAGCUGCAAGUCAGAUGUGAAAUCCCGGGGCUCAACCCCGGAACUGCAUUUGAAACUGCCAGGCUGGAGUACAGGAGAGGCAAGCGGAAUUCCUAGUGUAGCGGUGAAAUGCGUAGAUAUUAGGAGGAACACCAGUGGCGAAGGCGGCUUGCUGGACUGUUACUGACACUGAGGCACGAAAGCGUGGGGAGCAAACAGGAUUAGAUACCCUGGUA
rnacentral:rRNA from 1 species